GACAGACAAAGAAAAAAGGGUCAGAAGGCCAGUCGUAACCGGAGGUUAGAACGGGGAAAGCCGUUCCAGAGUCUUUCACUUGGUGAAGGUCCAGCACAUGGAAUUGGGCAGUGCUAAAUCUAUGAAUUUAAAAUAAACAGGACCAAAAAAAACAAAACAAAAAAAAAAAACAAAAACAAAAAAGAGGGGAGAGGGUGAAGAUCUGUAAAAAUACAUUUCCCCAAUAGGCCCUCAAAACGGAUUAAUUCUGGAUCCUUGAAAAGCAUCCUUGUGGAGGGAAGUAGGUAAACGCAGCGUAGGUUGCUUUGGAGUGACGCUCAAAAUAAACACGUUGCUGAAAAGUUGCCUGCUUCAAUAUGUCUCCACAGCAAAAGUUAAAAUGAGGACACCUAUUAUUAACACGUGAAUUAAUACAGGCUCCUGGUUUAAGCACAAUUUGAACAUUUGGAAUUCCCAUAUGGAGGAAAAACGAGAGUUGUCCACGCUGAGGUUUCUCCCUCAUCCUUCCCUACAAGAGAGCAGAGUGUAGACCAUGUGCGCCUCAUGGUCCCAGAACACAGGGCCAGUCCUAGCCUGGGGACACAAGGAUUUCAGCAGCGUUUUUCCCUACGGGGCGGACUAAUUGUACAUAGUUCCUCCCCCCCUAUUCCUCCCCACUUACUUGAGCACA